CCCCAAUGAUGAAACCUUCACAUGUCCGACCAGCUGCCUGUUGCCAGAGCCUGAAAAGGUGAACCCACUGGCUCAACAGCUGGAGAGGAAGGAUGACUUGUUCCAGCUGGAACUGUCUGAGGGGG
rnacentral:snoRNA from 12 species